GCUGAGCAUCACCAAGACACAGAGGAUGACGUGAACAGUUAGGACACAGGACUGCUAGGCUAUGGAUGGUGCAGGAAACCAGAUGUCAUGAGCUUAACAGAAUCUGCAAUUACAUCUGACACCUUGAUGCCUUCCUUUCCUUUGGAACUUUCUUUCUUCUGUGGCAGCAGUCAGAAGCUUCCCCAAGGAGGGUGGAUGCUGAGGAGUCUGGAAGCAGCCAGAAGCUCUGCCCAGGUGAGCAGAGACAGCUGCCACCUGAGAGAGGCCCUAGCAUGAAUCACACGGACGCCAGGAAAAGGGCAGCUCGGCCAGAACAUCAGGACACUCCCGGCUUUGAUCCAUGGACAACCUGCCGGGGAAAUGGGUUGUGUUUCCUUUUCCCUUGCCUGCAAAUCAGACACCUUAGAGCUGAAAACCCUGCCGCUGCCUCCUUCGCACAGAAAUAAAGGACAGCUCUGGACGCCCGCACGGAUUUAGAUCUCCCCCUUCCGCCAGCCUCUCCAGGGCAGCCACCGCUGGGUGCUCCGCACUCUGGCCGGACCCGCUGCCCGGUG
rnacentral:lncRNA from 1 species